GUAGAUGCUCAUUCCAUCUCUUAUGCUCGCCUUUUGGCCUCAUAAACUCAGGAAUGAUGCAGAGCCGUUUACGGUGCUUAUCGUCCACUGACAGAUGUCGCUUACGCCUCAUCAAACACCCUGGACACAACGUUGAGUGAAGCACCCCCUUUAUGUUGUCAUACAGACCUGUUUUGACGCCUGCCCCUUAACCGGGCAGGCGUUUUUUU
rfam:Salmonella enterica subsp. arizonae serovar 62:z4,z23:--, complete genome.